rnacentral:rRNA from 1 species
UGCGUCUGAAAGCGGCGGACUGGUGAGUAACGCGUGGGUGAUCUGCCUUUGGGUUGGGGACAGCCGUUGGAAACAGCGGGUAAUACCGAAUACGCUUAUCAUGUUGCAGACAUGGUAAGGAAAGGGGCUUUGGCCCCGCCCUGAGAUGAGCCCGCGUCCCAUUAGCUUGUUGGUGCUGGUAACGGCAGUACCAAGGCGAAGAUGGGUAGCCGGCCUGAGAGGGCGAACGGCCACACUGGGACUGAGAUACGGCCAGACUCCUACGGGAGUGCAGCAGCUAAGAAUAUUCCGACAAUGGGCGCAAGCCUGACGGAGCGACGCCGACAGUGGAUGACGAACGUGCCGAAAGGUUGUAAACAUCCUUUAUGCGGGCGAAGAAUAAGUCUUGGCAGGGAAUGACAGGAUGGUGACGCCAGGCCCGACGAAUAAGA